GCCAGCAUGGUGAAAUGGUUUGGAUGUUAGACUGUGGCUCUGAAGACCAGGGUUUGAUUCCCCACUUGGCC